GAAUAUUGGACAAUGGGCGAAAGCCUGCUCCAGCCAUGCCGCGUGUGUGAAGACGGUCUUCGGCUUGUAAAGCACUUUACGUUGGGAGGAAGGGCAGUAAGCGAAUACCUUGCUGUUUUGACGUUACCGACAGAAUAAGCACCGGCCCACUCUGUCCCAGCAGCCGCGGGAAUACAGAGGGUGCAAGCGUUAAUCGGAAUUACUGGGCGUAAAGCGCGCGUAGGGGGUUUGUGAAGUUGGAUGUGAAAUCCCCGGGCUCAACCUGGGAACUGCAUCCAAAACUGGCGAGCUAGAGUAGGGCAGAGGGUGGUGGAAUUUCCUGUGUAGCGGUGAAAUGCGUAGAUAUAGGAAGGAACACCAGUGGCGAAGGCGACCACCUGGGCUCAUACUGACACUGAGGUGCGAAAGCGAGGGGAGCAAACAGG
rnacentral:rRNA from 1 species